AACGAACGCUGGCGGCAUGCCUAACACAUGCAAGUCGAACGCCCCGCAAGGGGAGUGGCGAACGGGUGAGUAACGCGUGGGAACCUACCCAGCAGUUGGGGAUAACCGCGGGAAACUGCGGCUAAUACCGAAUACGUCCUUCGGGAGAAAGAUUUAUCGCUGUUGGAGGGGCCCGCGUCGGAUUAGCUAGUUGGCGGGGUAACGGCCCACCAAGGCGACGAUCCGUAGCUGGUCUGAGAGGAUGAUCAGCCACACUGGGGCUUAGACACGGCCCAGACUCCGACGGGAGGCAGCAGUGGUGAAUAUUGGACAAUGGGGGCAACCGUGAACCAGCAAUGCCGCGUGAGUGAUGAAGGCCUUAGGGUUGUAAAGCUCUUUUGCCGGGGACGAUGAUGACGGUACCCGGAGAAUAAGCCCCGGCUAACUUCGUGCCAGCAGCCGCGGUAACAC
rnacentral:rRNA from 1 species